UGUGUGUGUGUGUGUGUGUGUGUGUGUGUGUGUGUGUUUGCAAGUAUUUAAAAUGGUGUAAGCUUUUGUUCAUUUGCUUGUUUUUGGCCCAGUUGGGGUUCCACAGGUCCUGGAUGAAAUCCAGAAAAAGGAAAACUGGCUGAUUUCCAAAGUGGGGAAGACGGAACACUGCCCCAAAGCAAGAGGAACAAAUGCCCCAACGACAGUCUUCUAACACCACUGAGGAAGGAAAUGUGGAGACAGCCAGAGAGAGCAGCUUUGCAGCUGGGGUUUGACCAAGGUCAGCAUGAGAAAGAGUAGAGUGAGACAAUUUGGAAGCAAGAAUUAAAGUUCAAUGGUUGUCGCAUACUGUGCCAGCACCUGGCUACCCACACACCUGGAGGCCAUGAUGUUAAUCACAGGACUCUGCUGGAUAUAGCUGCCUGCUGCAGUUUAGUGCCUGACUUUAGAGUAGGUGGCACCAGGGAACCCAAGGUAUCCAGUCUGACUCUGGUCUCAAGAGCAGGACAAGGAAUGGAGAGGCCAUGGAUAAAGGAAGCUAUGGGAGAGGCCAUGGAUAAAGGAAGCUUUGGCUCUGCAGAGAGCCAAAGCCACAUGUACCAUGAGGUUGUGAGCACACAAAAUUGUCAUGCAUUUGAGUCAUCUAGAGAUCUGCUGGUGAUACACAGGUCUUGAGGGGACCUUAUUGCUGCCACUGCUGCUGGAGGAGCUUCACUUUGCACAGCAAAGACCCACCUUUGGGUGUACAGAGGCUGGUUGGUGGUGGAGGACAAUGCAGAAGCUUAGAGAGACGAGGACCAAGACCAUGGCAUGCCCUGGAAGCAGCCUUCUCCACAGCCAAAGAUCCCAAAUCCUGCCAGUUCCUAGCCACCAGCAUCUUUGUGCCGAAGGAAACCGGAAGUGGUCUCUGUUGCUGGUCUGAGAAGGUUGAUGAUGUUUCCAGUGGCCUGGACUCAACUGCCCUUCAUAGUUCCAGAACAGUUUUAGUCUUUCUUUGUUGCACUAAGGAUCCAUGCAGGCCCCAUGCAAGGCUGAGUGACAAGAAGUGGGCAACAUAACGGGAUGUUAGGUGUCACAUACCUUCAUCCCUCCAUUACUUCAUCAUUUCUGUAUUUGUUAGAUGCCUGCUCUACUUCAGAUCCCUGGAGAGAGUGGGUACAAGAUGUGCCAUGGCACCUCAUAGCCUCUGUCCCUGCAUUUGGGUGCUUGUAUUCCCAAUGGGUGACCUUUCCCACCCCAGCAAUGGAGCUAGGCUGAAACAGAUUCUGAGCACCAUGCUGAGGAAUUGCUGCUUGGCUCCAAACCUCAGUGCUGCUAAACAGCCCUGAUAGAAGGCACAGUCAAACAGUUAUGCUGAAAUCUUGUACUUUAAUUUUAAAAAUGCAUCUAUCUUUUGUAUUCUACCCUUCAAUAUUGCCAUGUUUGUUUACAUAUGAAGGUAAUAACAGGUUUUUUUUCUGAAUCAUCUGAAUUUGAAGAUUCAGAAAAAAUAAUGCAGCAGGCACCUGGAAGCCUAAUAUCAUGUCUGCCUGGGGCUCUGUAUCUCCUGGCUCAGCUCUGAACACUGCAAACACCUGGAGCCCAGGAGCCUUUGAUUGAGCUGUGUUCCUCCCUGGGAUGCUUUGCUUGGCCGGGCUCCUUGGAGGGGUGGUGCUGGGCCACCCACGAGCAGGCCCUGUCCCUUCCACACAGGGAAGAUGCAUCAACCUCACCUCUACUGUGGCUCCUGUUCGUGGGGAGAUUUUACAUCAAGUGCUUUUCAUCUAGAAUUGGAAGCUUUAAUAUGUUUUACAGGAAGACCUUUUAUGUGCCAAUAAAAAAACGAGCGAUUAUAGCAGGCGAUGAAAAGCAGCUAGCACCUCGGAGACAUUGUAUGUUUAGAAAAAGCGGGUAUGUUUCCCCAGAGAAUGACGUGAUCAGUCCUUUCUUGUUCAUUAUGGAAUCAAGUGUAGAAGACCUUUUGGUAAAGAAAUGUAGGGCUUUUCACAAUCACUACACAAACACACUCACAUGGGAGAGAAAGAGAGAGAGAGUUGGAGUGACACAAAGAAGAAAUGGAGAGGGAGGUUAGAAGGGAGGGAGAGCAUCUGAUAAUCCUCUCUGUCUCCUCUAAGUUGAUACCUGCCUUUCUUCUCUGUAAAUAGACAAUGGAGCUAUGGACCUGAGUCAAGCGCAGUAAGCCUUGACUACUUAACUUGGCAUGCAAUUAUCCUUGUCUGUAGACAACAAAACCCCUCACCAUUUCCAGAAUCAGCAUAAGCCAGGGUGGAAGGAACUUGAGAGGUCAUCCCUCACCCAUCCUGGGGGCACAGUAGCAAUCUCACAUGUCCCUAAGAAGGCAGGUUGAAGUCCAGGACAGCACUAUUGGGUGGGUCCCUAUUCCCUAUCCUGGGAUCAGGAAGAGAGGAGAGGAGGGAGAAUCUGGAGUUUGUCUAUAAAACCAGAUUCAUGUUAAACAUAGAGCCGUGGUCUUCAGGCCCUUAUGCUGCCCUGAACACAAAAGGAACUGCAAAAGUAGAGAGCUCCAUGAUGUCCAAGAAGGUAUGCACUGGUCUCAACUGCUUAGCUGGCCUGGCAUAGGGUUAAAUGAAAGACCAGGGUAGACUUGAAUUCCACAGGGCCUAGGGUACAUUUGACAUUGAACUUCAGUGCCAGCAUAGAGUCAAGUUGAGGGGAGGCUCAGACAGAGGUGGACAAGUGUGGACUUUGAACCAUCAUCCUGAUUUUGCUAUUCACUGUGUAUGACCUAAAGCUGGUACCUCCAUACUGGGGGUGACUUUGCUUCCCACCCCCCGUUUGGCAAUAUCUGAAGACACAACUGAGGAGUGCACAGGGCCCCCACUCACUACUGGCAUGUAGGAGGAGAGCCCAGCAUGCUGCCACACAUGCUACCUACCGUGCACUCAGCUGGCAUCACAAAAAUAAACAUGGCCCACGUGUUGAAGCAGCAAGGUAGAAAAACUGUCAUAAUAAAAGUACUGUGCCUCGGUUUUCUCAUCUAUAAAAUAAAGAGGGUAGUAAUUGCAUCCUGCAUGCAGGGCUAUGGUGAAACUUUCUGAACUGGUGCAUAGCAAGUGUUCAGAACAGGUCCUGAUCCAAAAUACACACUGUAAAUAGAUGCUUCUAAUGCUAGCAUUCUCAUCCAAGACAGCAGAAGCACCCAGGACUAAGGAGGAGGCUCAGCAGGUCUGUGGGACAACGGAAUGUGAAUGUCAAGACCAGUGGUAGGGCCAAGGCUGAGUUAAAUUCUGUGCCCUGGAGUUGAGAAAUCAGAGGAGGAGGGGAAAAGCAAAGAGGAAGUGGACUGAGAGCAGAGGGUCCUGAGCAACUUCUGCAAGCCCUGGCUGGUAUUGGCGGGCUCCUUUUUGCAGGACAGGCAGCCAAGGAGCUGGUGAGUGGGAGGAGCCCACCCUGACCCCAUUGCUGCCCCAUGCACUCAUACUCCCCCCUCUCCACUGCCCCAGGAAGCUGCUGUGGGCUCAAGAGGAUGGUAUUCUCUAAGACUAGGAAGAACAUGGGGACCAGAAGCAGCCCAUGCUGAGUUCCAGGGGCACACACAUUAUGUUGUGUGCUAUAACUGUGAAUUGUGUCCCCCAAAGGUACAUCCACCUGGAACCCUGGAAUGUGAAUAUUUGGACUAAGCAUCUUCACAGAUGCAACUGAGGCAAUGAUCUGGAGAUAAGACCAUCAUCCUAGGUGGUGCCUGAAUUCAACAACAGUGGUCCUUAUAAGAGACACGGAAGAAGAAGACACAGAGAGGGAAAGCCUAGGGGAUACCGAGGCAGGGACUGGAGUCACGCAGGAUUGCCAGUGGCCACCAAAGACAAGGAGAGACCCAUGUAUAGAUUUCUCCUCCAAGCCACCAGAAGGAACCAACCCUCCUGGCACUUUGAUUUUGUUCUCCAGAACUGUAGAGAAUAGAUUUCUGUGGUAAAUGACCAGUUUGUGAUGGCAGCCCUAAGAAACAAAUACAGGCUGAGUACCACUAGUCUGAAAAUCUAAUAUCUAAAAUACUGUGGUGAAAUCUGUGCAAAUGUUCCAAAGUCUGAAAAUAAAAACAAUAUCUGAAAGCCUUUCAAAUACAAUUCCCAAGUCAGAAUGGGAUAGAAGUCAAAAGGCACCGUCCGACAGAGAGCUGGACAGGGAACAGGGCUUGGCCCCAGCUCAGGGACUCCUUGCAAGGACUGGGGCAAAGCUUUCAAUGUCUUGUUCUCAGAUACUCCCCCAUAAGAGAGGGACCUUUUCUUCCAAAUCCCAGAACACUCCACACUUGGCAAGAGAGAAGUCUCUGGACCAGAUAACAAGGCCACUGGAUGGUUAGAUUGAAGCAGUGUAAACAACUAACUGUGUGGGAAGAAAAGAAGAAAAGGAAGAAAAACUGAAAUACAAUUGAAGCUUUAUUAAUUGUCCGAGCUAUUUAGCAGUAGGAGUUGAAAAGAAAGUACUUAGCCCUUGAAGGAAGGAAUGGAAAGCCGGGUCUUUCAUUAAUCUCACUGCCCUCUGUGUCAAACGCCCAUUGUCAGGGUGGGCACAAAGCCUGCCACAGUCUGCAGCAGAAAUCUAAGAUCCAGGCAAUUGGGAGUGCACAGGCCCGGGAGAGAAGGGUUCAAUAUGGAAAGUGUUUUCUGCACAGCCAGGGGUGCCCAUUUCCAGUCCUUUUCAAUUUGUACACUUUUCCUCCGAUGACUCCUUGAGGGUAAUUACAGUUCUUUUCACAAAUGAAGUAUGGAAGAUGGGAGAGAGGCGAGGCUGUCAAUAGUUCUGCAGGAAUGUGUGGUCUGUCUCCGGGAGACAUAGAAAGCAUCGAUUCUCCUUCCUGUGGGAUUCAGAGCGUGAAUGGAAGAUCCUCCUGCAGGGAAGCUGGGGGACAUCCUC